rnacentral:rRNA from 1 species
CCUACGGGAGGCAGCAGUGGGGAAUAUUGGACAAUGGGCGAAAGCCUGAUCCAGCCAUGCCGCGUGUGUGAAGAGGGUCUUCGGAUUGUACAGCACUUUAAGUUGGGAGGAAGGGUUGUAACCUACUACGUUGCAAUUUUGACGUUACCGACAGAAUAAGCACCGGCUAACUUCGUGCCAGCAGCCGCGGUAAUACGAAGGGUGCAAGCGUUAAUCGGAAUUACUGGGCGUAAAGCGCGCGUAGGUGGUUAGGUAAGUUGGAUGUGAAAGCCCUGGGCUCAACCUGGGACCUGCAUCCAAAACUGCUUGGCUAGAGUACGGUAGAGGGUAGUGGAAUUUCCUGUGUAGCGGUGAAAUGCGUAGAUAUAGGAAGGAACACCAGUGGCGAAGGCGACUACCUGGACUGAUACUGACACUGAGGUGCGAAAGCGUGGGGAGCAAACAGGAUUAGAUACCCUAGUAGUC